rnacentral:rRNA from 1 species
GAAUUUUGGACAAUGGGCGAAAGCCUGAUCCAGCAAUGCCUCGUGCAGGAUGAAGGCCUUCGGGUUGUAAACUGCUUGUGUACGGAACGAAAAGAUUAGGGUUAAUACCAUGGAGUCCUGACCGUACCGCAAGCAAACACAUCGGCUAACUACGUGGCCGCAGGCACGGUAAUACGUAGGGUGCAAGCGUUAAUCGGGAUUACUGGGCGUAAAGCGUGCGCAGGCGGUUUUGUAAGACAGAGGUGAAAUCCCCGGGCUCAACCUGGGAACUGCCUUUGUGACUGCAAGGCUAGAGUACGGCAGAGGGGGGUGGAAUUCCGCGUGUAGCAGUGAAAUGCGUAGAUAUGCGGAGGAACACCGAUGGCGAAGGCAACCCCCUGGGCCUGUACUGACGCUCAUGCACGAAAGCGUGGGGAGCAAAC